rnacentral:tRNA from 1 species
GCGGGGAUAACUCAGUUGGAAGAGCGUUAGACUGAAGAUCUAAGGUCGCGUGUUCGAUCCACGCUCACCGCA